rnacentral:rRNA from 1 species
UACGAAGGGAGCUAGCGUUGUUCGGAAUCACUGGGCGUAAAGCGCACGUAGGCGGAUUUGUCAGUCAGGGGUGAAAUCCUGGAGCUCAACUCCAGAACUGCCUUUGAUACUGGUGAUCUUGAGUCCGGGAGAGGUGAGUGGAACUGCGAGUGUAGAGGUGAAAUUCGUAGAUAUUCGCAAGAACACCAGUGGCGAAGGCGGCUCACUGGCCCGGUACUGACGCUGAGGUGCGAAAGCGUGGGGAGCAAACAGG